rnacentral:lncRNA from 1 species
AUGGGAUUGGGCUCUCAGCCUGAAACUGUCCUCACAGGUCUAACAAGAGUUACAUGCUGGGUUCUGGAAUAGAAAUAUAGUUAUGAUUAAAAUGUUUCUGGGGUCGUGGGCAAGAUGGCCGAAAAGGAACAGCUCCAGUCUGCAGCUCCCAGCGAGAUCAACGCAGAUGUUUUUCAGAUCCUGAAUUCCAGCAGCAACGGCUGACACCCACCAGUUUGAAGACCCCCCACAACAGGGAACCAGAUCAGCUUGAGAAUACAGUUUCUUCAUCUCCCUGUCUCCUGGCUUUACCCUGCACCCUUCGACCAAUCAGUGAUUCCCCAGACCUCAGCCCACUCCAAACCCCUAAAAACCUCUGGCCCCAAACUCCUCUGGGCGGUGGAUUUGAGGUUUCCUCCCCCUCAUUUGGCUGCCUUAUGAUUAAACCUCUUUCUCUGCU